rnacentral:lncRNA from 1 species
CAGCGAGAAAUGGUCGCUGUGACCAUCUUCAGCAACAUGCUCUCUCUUGGAUGUAUGGAUUAUGAGCACAUCAGUGCCUGCCCCAACUUUGUCAUCAGUCUCUACGGAUGAUGACGAUGACGACAAUGGUGGAUCGGCGACGACGUCCACCACCUGGUGAAGCCGGGAAGCAUGAGCUUGGGACGGCGGGCUGGUCACUGCAAGGAGGAGGACGACGAGGAUGAGCAGGAGUGGGACGGUGCUUGAGAGACCAGCCAUUGGAAUGGAGGCAAGAGCAAGUGUGCGUGCCUAUACACAGAUGGUCCCAAGGUAUAUUUAUAUAUGCGCUAUACAGCGAUCCAGAGGGAGGAGAGACAGCAAUUAACAUCAUAUUUAACUCUGCAUAAGCUAGCGUAUAUAACCGAUGCAUUACUAACAACUCAAGAAUAAAUCGAUCGAUGCAAGGAUUCAGUUCAGUUUUAUCAGUAACGUUUGCCCCGUGGAGUGAGUUUUAUCAAUAAUGUUGCUCCCGGAGAUCCAGUUUUUUUUUUUGUUUUUUGGUCGACGGCAGGGACUAUCGUCUCUUGGUGUUAGACUUUUACUAUUGCCUCCAUUUCUUUUAUAAUGGCUGAAAUGGUAAUGGUGCAGACAUUGGCGGAGGAGUUUGCCAAAUAAAGCACUCUAUAAAAACAUUAAUGGACCGAUCUUUAAUUUUGACCUGAUGAACUCACAAAGUGAUUUCAAAGAUUCCUAUUAGACUGCAAAUGGCAGGCAUAUUGAUGAUUUUGCAAUACCUAUUCACAAUAAAGUUUCACAGUAGUGCAUGGUCAGCUUGCUCUGAUGUACAUCCUCCAUUCCACUGAAAGUGACGUUUUGGUCUUCGUGCCAUCUUGUUUGACUAUUCAUCUUAUUCAAAAAUUUUAUAUAAAUAUUAAUUAUUUUAGUAUAACUUAUUUAUUAUUAGAGGUACUUUAAUAAUAAUUUAGUUAUUUUAUUAUUGCAAAAAAAUAAAUAAGAGGAAUGAUCAAAUACGGUACCCAAAAAUCAAAAACAACACUGCGAGUGGCGAGGCGGUGGCUGCGAAAGGGAGAGCUAGUGCACAUGGCGCAUGUCCCAGUGUGCGGCAGAGGGCACGGCGUGGAGU